rnacentral:rRNA from 1 species
CCUACGGGUGGCAGCAGUGAGGAAUAUUGGACAAUGGGGGAAACCCUGAUCCAGCGACGCCGCGUGAGUGAAGAAGUAUUUAGGUACGUAAAGCUCUAUCAGCAGGAAAGAAAAUGACGGUACCUGACUAAGAAGCCCCGGCUAACUACGUUCCAGCCGCCGCUGUACUACGUCGGGGGCAAGCGUUAUCCGGAUUUACUGGGUGUAAGGGGAGCGUAGACGGCAGCGCAAGUCUGGAGUGAAAUGGCGGGGCUCAACCCCGGAACUGCUCUGGAAACUGUGAAGCUGGAGUGCAGGAGAGGUAAGCGGAAUUCGUGGUGUAGCGGUGAAAUGCGUAGAUAUCAGGAAGAACACCGACGGCGAAGGCAGCUUACUGGACUGUAACUGACGUUGAGGCUCGAAGGCGUGGGGAGCAAACAGGAUUAGAUACCCUGGUAGUC